rnacentral:rRNA from 1 species
UACGGAGGGUGCAAGCGUUGUUCGGAUUUAUUGGGCGUAAAGCGCGUGUAGGCGGUUUUGUAAGUCUGAUGUGAAAGCCCUGGGCUCAACCCGGGAAGUGCAUUGGAUACUGCAAGACUUGAAUACGGGAGAGGAGAGUGGAAUUCCUGGUGUAGGAGUGAAAUCCGUAGAUAUCAGGAGGAACACCGGUGGCGAAGGCGGCUCUCUGGACCGAUAUUGACGCUGAGACGCGAAAGCGUGGGUAGCAAACAGG